ACGAGUAAAAAUUAUUGUUAAUGGACGAUACUCAAUGCGCUAGACCUAAAAAUUAUAGAUUUAAAAUGUCUAUGUUAAGCCAACUCGAAAGCUACUAUUGUCUAAACAAAGGAAGACUCUAUCACAGAUAUUCAUUAUUUGCUUGCCAAACCCGUAGGCUACUGCACCCAGUAUCGUUUAUUAAUUAUUGUCCAAACCACUAUGUUUGACCUAUUCAUAACUAUAACAAUGAAACUAUAGUUAAACAUGGGCAGAUAUCCGAGUUAGCUUUAUCUGCCUAUAUCAUUCUUACUUGGAUUGCGAGCUGUAAAGACUGAUUUAAAGAGUCAUUUAAAAAAUUAAUCGUUUCACGUUUAUCGUUUCUAAACGUACACCAAAAAUAAUUCCAAGAGUUAGCAAACCACGAUCACGAGUUCGUCAGCAGGAUCAACGACCGUCCAGCACUCAACCGUCCGUCGAAGUACCGAGCAACUUGGGCGAGUUAUCAAUUUUAGAGUUGAAGAACCUUUGCCGCGAACUCAACUUUUCCUGCGCUGGCGGCCGACGGGUACUUACAACGCGUCUACAAAACGAAAGAGAACGUCUAAGCACGAAUACGCCGCAAUCCAACAUUCAAACCGUUCCAGUAAUGUCUCAAUCAAUUUUAUGGUUGCCCAACUGUACUUGUUCCCAGGGUCGGGCAUUUGCUUCCUGCAGGUUAGCCCCGGGGUGGGGAAUUUGCUCGAGGCUAAAAAGUCGAACUGAUUUAUCCCUUGUUUCGCCAUUUAGCCGUACUUUAGUACGCAUGUUUACACGUGCGUGCGUAUUGCAAAUUAAUCAUGGCGAACAUACACACAAACACUUUUUUCUUGUCCAUCCUUUUGAUACAUUGACUUACUUCCGCAGUUCGAUAUGGCUAUAUAAAAUUUUGAGACUUCAAUAUUUUAAUUAAAAACGUUUUGAAAUUAAAUGGCUACAGAUAUAUUGAUACGUGAUAGAGCUUGCAUUCGAUUUUUUGGAUCAGAAAUCCUCAGAAAACUUAUAUUUUGUCCCCCAAGGGUGGGGCAUUUGCGUCAAUGUAAGUCCCCAAGGGUGGGGAUUUUGUUGCAUUAUUUGGAC